rnacentral:rRNA from 1 species
UACGUAGGGUGCGAGCGUUGUCCGGAAUUAUUGGGCGUAAAGAGCUCGUAGGCGGUGUGUCACGUCGGCCGUGAAAACCUGCAGCUUAACUGUGGGCGUGCGGUCGAUACGGGCAGACUAGAGUUCGGCAGGGGAGACUGGAAUUCCUGGUGUAGCGGUGAAAUGCGCAGAUAUCAGGAGGAACACCGGUGGCGAAGGCGGGUCUCUGGGCCGAUACUGACGCUGAGGAGCGAAAGCGUGGGGAGCAAACAGG